CCUACGGGUUGCACCAGUGGGGAAUAUUGGACAAUGGGCGAAAGCCUGAUCCAGCAAUGCCGCGUGUGUGAAGAAGGUCUUCGGAUUGUAAAGCACUUUCGACGGGGANGAUGAUGACGGUACCCGUAGAAGAAGCCCCGGCUAACUUCGUGCCAGCAGCCGCGGUAAUACGAAGGGGGCUAGCGCUGCUCGGAAUGACUGGGCGUAAAGGGCGCGUAGGCGGUUUAUGCAGUCAGAUGUGGAAUCCCCGGGCUUAACCUGGGAACUGCAUUUGAGACGCAUAGACUAGAGGUCGAGAGAGGGUUGUGAAAUUCCCAGUGUAGAGGUGAAAUUCGUAGAUAUUGGGUAGAACACCGGUGGCGAAGGCGGCAACCUGGCUCGAUACUGACGCUGAGGCGCGAAAGCGUGGGGAGCAAACAGGAUUAGAUACCCUCGUAG
rnacentral:rRNA from 1 species